CUCGGUCCUCCCCACAUCCGUCUCCUGGCAAUGAUGUCUCCUUUUCUCCUUCAUCUCAAGGUCCAGCCUGCCGAGUGGCCUGUGGCCGGCCUGGGGGCGGUGCGGACCCCCUCCCCACAGGCCGCAGGGGAGAUGCCCAUCGCCCGAAAGCGUCCUAUCCCCUACUACCGGCCCAGCCCCUCGUCCUCCUCCAGCUGCCUGAGCAGCGAGUACUCAAGCCGGAGCCCCAGCCGCAGCCCCAGCCCAGGCCACAGCCACGGNNNNNNNNNNNNNNNNNNNNNNNNNGGGACCCGCAGCCGCACGCGCAGCCCCUCCCGGACCCCCAGUCCCAGCUACCACAGCCGGAGCAGCUCAGAGAGUGGGGGCUUCUGAGCCCAGACAAACCCAGCUUGGUGCCCCCUGGAAUAGGGAAAGGCGAGGGGUCAGGACCCAGGACCUGUGAGGGGGCCUGCACCCCACUGCUACAAAGAGGUCCCCGGGCCAGGGAAGACCUUGAGGGUGGGUGUCCUGCAGACGAGGAGAAGCUGGGUUCUGCUGCUUCUAGAGGGUCCCUACCUCCACCUCCUGCCUGCCCACCACGUCCAGGGAACAAAGAGCCGUUGCGAACACAGGGAUCACCCUGUCCCCCUUCCUGCUUGAUGCCAGCUCACCAGGCUGGGGACAGCUCUGUGGACCCAGGGACACCUUGGAAGGUGCCAGACCUGGGAGCCUCCCCCACCCUCUCCACAGGGCCCUCGGCUCCUCUCUAUCAAUGGGCAGACAAGGAGGUGGGAAGGCGAGCAGGAUCUAAGUUAGACAGAAGGAAGAAUGGCCUAACCCUUGGUGCAGCACCAUCCAGGCUGGGGAGCUGCUUCCUUCUGAACUGGCUGCAGGAUCCUGGCUGAGGGCUGGAGGCCAGCCCACAGCCUCCCCCAGCCCCUCCCCUGGCCCAGGAGUACCCACACAGACUAGGUGGGCCCCUAAGCCCCAGCCCGGAGAAGGGGAGCUUACUCCUGGUCCCACCUCUCCUCUCCAGGCCAGGCUGUCCCCUCCAGCCCUCACUCCAUGCCCUGGGCCAAGGCCACAGCAGCCAGGCCUUCUGCAUGACAAGAGGUGGGACAUUCAGACCACACUGCAUCUGACCCUGAGGUCAAAAGGGCUUCAGGUCAGGAUGAGGGAGAGAGAAGGGGUAGAUGGAAGAAGAGCCUGUGAGGAGCAGAGGAGAGCAAUGCAGUCUGAUGACUGAGCAAGCCCUGUUGUCCCAGUGUGCCCUGUGUCUGGGACAUGGGCCAGAUGGCAGCACAGGGUCACAGGCAUAGGAUAACAUGCACUUCGGGGCCUGCCCAAAGGAGCACUUCCUUCUCGGGAUUUGGUGGGGAGGUGGUCAGUGGUGGCUACCCAGAGAAGGGUGCUACAGCCCUUUGAAGAAAGGGUAAGAUCUAGACUGAGGGCCUUGGCCUGGGGCAUUCGUGGGAAAGCAGUGACCACACCCCCCCCCCCCCCCAGCCCUCUUCUGCUGCUCCCAGCCCACUCCUCCUGGGGCCCUCAGGGAUCUCACAAAGUCUUCCUUGGCCCAACAGGGCAUCUACCCUGGGCUCCCAUGGGGGGAGGGGUCUGGGGUCUGGUCCGGGUUCCCCCUCUCUCUAUUUCCCCCUCCCUCUUUCUCCGCGGUGCGGAUUAAAAUUGGACUCUAAUAAAACACUUGGUGCCCGGAUGGCA
rnacentral:lncRNA from 1 species